GACGAACGCUGGCGGCGUGCUUAACACAUGCAAGUCGAACGGAAAGGCCCUGCUUUUGUGGGGUGCUCGAGUGGCGAACGGGUGAGUAACACGUGAGUAACCUGCCCUUGACUUUGGGAUAACUUCAGGAAACUGGGGCUAAUACCGGAUAGGAGCUCCUGCUGCAUGGUGGGGGUUGGAAAGUUUCGGCGGUUGGGGAUGGACUCGCGGCUUAUCAGCUUGUUGGUGGGGUAGUGGCUUACCAAGGCUUUGACGGGUAGCCGGCCUGAGAGGGUGACCGGCCACAUUGGGACUGAGAUACGGCCCAGACUCCUACGGGAGGCAGCAGUGGGGAAUAUUGCACAAUGGGCGGAAGCCUAAUGCAGCAACGCCGCGUGCGGGAUGACGGCCUUCGGGUUGUAAACCGCUUGCGCCUGUGACGAAGCGUGAGUGACGGUAAUGGGUAAAGAAGCACCGGCUAACUACGUG
rnacentral:rRNA from 1 species